GACCGUUCCGGUGGCUUAGUGGUUAGAGUGUCCGCCUCAGAUGCGAGAAGUCGUGGGUUCUAUUCCCGGCCGAGUCA